rnacentral:rRNA from 1 species
UCCGUAGGCGGUCUUAUAAGUCAGUGGUGAAAUCCCAUCGCUCAACGAUGGAACUGCCAUUGAUACUGUAGGACUUGAAUGCUUAGGAAGUAACUAGAAUAUGUAGUGUAGCGGUGAAAUGCUUAGAUAUUACAUGGAAUACCAAUUGCGAAGGCAGGUUACUACUAAGUGAUUGACGCUGAUGGACGAAAGCGUGGGGAGCGAACAGGAUUAGAUACCCCUGUA